rnacentral:rRNA from 1 species
AUCCAGACUCCUACGGGAGGCAGCAGUGGGGAAUAUUGCACAAUGGGGGAAACCCUGAUGCAGCGACGCCGCGUGAGCGAUGAAGUAUUUCGGUAUGUAAAGCUCUAUCAGCAGGGAAGAAGAUGACGGUACCUGACUAAGAAGCCCCGGCUAACUACGUGCCAGCAGCCGCGGUAAUACGUAGGGGGCAAGCGUUAUCCGGAUUUACUGGGUGUAAAGGGAGCGUAGACGGCGAUGCAAGCCAGAUGUGAAAGCCCGGGGCUCAACCCCGGGACUGCAUUUGGAACCGUGUGGCUGGAGUGUCGGAGAGGCAGGCGGAAUUCCUAGUGCAGCGGUGGAAUGCGUAGAUAUUAGGAGGAACACCAGUGGCGAAGGCGGCCUGCUGGACGAUGACUGACGUUGAGGCUCGAAAGUGUGGGGAGCAAACAGGAUUAGAUACCCUCGUA